rnacentral:rRNA from 1 species
AUUGAACGCUGGCGGCAGGCCUAACACAUGCAAGUCGAGCGGGGUUUUCGGACCUAGCGGCGGACGGGUGAGUAAUGCGUAGGAAGCUACCCGAUAGAGGGGGAUACCAGUUGGAAACGACUGUUAAUACCGCAUAAUGUCUACGGACCAAAGUGUGGGACCUUCGGGCCACAUGCUAUCGGAUGUGCCUAGGUGGGAUUAGCUAGUUGGUGAGGUAAUGGCUCACCAAGGCGACGAUCCCUAGCUGGUUUGAGAGGAUGAUCAGCCACACUGGAACUGAGACACGGUCCAGACUCCUACGGGAGGCAGCAGGGGGGAAUAUUGGACAAUGGGCGCAAGCCUGAUCCAGCCAUGCCGCGUGUGUGAAGAAGGCCUUCGGGUUGUAAAGCACUUUCAGUAAGGAGGAAGCGUUGAGUGUUAAUAGUACUCAGCGUUGACGUUACUUACAGAAGAAGCACCGGCUAACUCUGUGCCAGCCGCCGCAGUAAAAC